rnacentral:lncRNA from 1 species
CACAAUGCCUCGGGGCGGAGGGAGGGGGAGCUGGAAAGGGUUGGGGGAGGGAAUGUGGCCUUAAGAAGAGAAAGAAGGAGAAGAAUGCAGACCCUUCUACCAGGGCUAGGAGGCCAGGCCUAAAAAGGAAUAAAGAGGCAAGGCUUAGACAGAGGGAGGGGUAUAAAGACCCCAAUCCCAAGAAGAAUAAAGGAAGAGAGAGGGAAGGAGAUUCAGACCCGGGAAGCAGCUGGGGAAGGGGUAGAGAUCCUAACCUGAGGAAGAAGCAGGGAAGGAGGUGAAGUCAUCAGCCUCAGAGGAAAAGACAGGACCCCUUUCCUCCCCCCAGAUCUGUAGGAAGAAGAGGAACAGCCUGCUCCACAGAGAGGCACCAAGUCAGAAACCUGCAAACCAUGAAUGUGGAUGAAACUACUCCAUGGCUGAGAAAUAUGGAUUAGAAAGACACUCCAUCCCUUCCUCCACCCAAAGAACUGUGUUCGGGAUCUUCUCUUUCCCUAGAACCCACCAUAGACUGAUUAGAAUCCUGCCUGUUGCAUUCACUGUGGUAUCCAGAGGAAAGACUACUGACAUGUGGCCAGUAGUC